rnacentral:tRNA from 1 species
GGAGGUAUAGCUCAGUGGUAGAGUGAGCGCCUAACAUGUACAAGGUCCUGGGCUCAAUACCCAGUACCUCUA